AACGAACGCUGGCGGCAUGCCUAACACAUGCAAGUCGAACGAGACCUUCGGGUCUAGUGGCGCACGGGUGCGUAACGCGUGGGAACCUGCCCUUAGGUUCGGAAUAACUCCCCGAAAGGGGUGCUAAUACCGGAUAAUGUCUUCGGACCAAAGAUUUAUCGCCUUUGGAUGGGCCCGCGUUUGAUUAGCUAGUUGGUAGGGUAAAAGCCUACCAAGGCGACGAUCCAUAGCUGGUAUGAGAGGAUGAUAAGACACACUGGGACUGAGACACGGCGCAGACUACUACGGGAGGGAGCAGUGGGGAAUAUUGGACAAUGGGGGAAAGCAUGAUCAAGCAAUGCCGCGUGAGUGAUGAAGGCGUUAGGGUUGUAAAGCUCUUUUACCCGGGAUGAUAAUGACAGUACCGGGAGAAUAAGCACCGGCUAACUCCGUG
rnacentral:rRNA from 1 species